UAUAGCUCAGUGGUAGAGCGCAUGCUUAGCAUGCACGAGGUCCUGGGUGUAAUCCCCAGUA
rnacentral:tRNA from 1 species